rnacentral:rRNA from 1 species
AUUGAACGCUGGCGGCAUGCUUUACACAUGCAAGUCGAGCGGCAGCGCGGGGGCAACCCUGGCGGCGAGCGGCGAACGGGUGAGUAAUGCAUCGGAACGUAUCCUCGAGUGGGGGAUAACCCAGCGAAAGUUGGGCUAAUACCGCAUGAGCUCUGAGGAGGAAAGCGGGGGACCUGCGAGGGCCUCGCGCUGGGGGAGCGGCCGAUGUCCGAUUAGCUAGUUGGUGGGGUAAAGGCUUACCAAGGCGACGAGCGGUAGCUGGUCUGAGAGGAUGAUCAGCCACACUGAGACUGGGACACGGCCCAGACUCCUAGGGGAGGCAGCAGUGGGGAAUUUUGGACAAGGGGGGCAACCCUGAGCCAGCCAUGCGGCGGGGGUGAAGAAGGCCUUCGGGUUGUAAAGCUCUUUCGGACGGAACGAAAUGGGCGGGACUAAUACUCCUGUCUGAGGACGGUACCGUAAGAAGAAGCACCGGCUAACUACGG